rnacentral:ncRNA from 1 species
CCUGUUAUACGGCUAACAGUAGCCUAGGGAUAGUGCGAUGCUGGUAACGGCAUGGUGCGAAGCUUCCUGACAAUGUACCCCUGCAUAAGCAGUGUCUUAACUCGUGAGAGUAUGCAUAGCUGGCUAACAAUAAGCUGGCUGGGGG